AAUCCAUAGGUUAAUGAGGCGAACCGGGGGAACUGAAACAUCUAAGUACCCCGAGGAAAAGAAAUCAACCGAGAUUCCCCCAGUAGCGGCGAGCGAACGGGGAGGAGCCCAGAGCCUGAAUCAGCAUGUGUGUUAGUGGAAGCGUCUGGAAAGGCGCGCGAUACAGGGUGACAGCCCCGUACACAAAAGCGCAUGUGCUGUGAGCUCGAUGAGUAGGGCGGGACACGUGGUAUCCUGUCUGAAUAUGGGGGGACCAUCCUCCAAGGCUAAAUACUCCUGACUGACCGAUAGUGAACCAGUACCGUGAGGGAAAGGCGAAAAGAACCCCGGCGAGGGGAGUGAAAAAGAACCUGAAACCGUGUACGUACAAGCAGUGGGAGCCCCACCACCAAAGCAUUUGCUGUACCGCGUUGACGGAGCGAAGCGACGUCAAACCGAUAAAACAGCA
rnacentral:rRNA from 2 species